CUCGUAGGUGGCCAACUAAGUCAGACGUGAAAUCCCUCGGCUUAACCGGGGAACUGCGUCUGAUACUGGAUGGCUUGAGUUUGGGAGAGGGACGCGGAAUUCCAGGUGUAGCGGUGAAAUGCGUAGAUAUCUGGAGGAACACCGGUGGCGAAGGCGGCGUCCUGGACCAACACUGACACUGAGGAGCGAAAGCCAGGGGAAGCAAACG
rnacentral:rRNA from 1 species